GACGAACGCUGGCGGCGUGCCUAAUACAUGCAAGUCGAGCGGACAGAUGGGAGCUUGCUCCCUGAUGUUAGCGGCGGACGGGUGAGUAACACGUGGGUAACCUGCCUGUAAGACUGGGAUAACUCCGGGAAACCGGGGCUAAUACCGGAUGCUUGUUUGAACCGCAUGGUUCAAACAUAAAAGGUGGCUUCGGCUACCACUUACAGAUGGACCCGCGGCGCAUUAGCUAGUUGGUGAGGUAAUGGCUCACCAAGGCAACGAUGCGUAGCCGACCUGAGAGGGUGAUCGGCCACACUGGGACUGAGACACGGCCCAGACUCCUACGGGAGGCAGCAGUAGGGAAUCUUCCGCAAUGGACGAAAGUCUGACGGAGCAACGCCGCGUGAGUGAUGAAGGUUUUCGGAUCGUAAAGCUCUGUUGUUAGGGAAGAACAAGUGCCGUUCAAAUAGGGCGGCACCUUGACGGUACCUAACCAGAAAGCCACGGCUAACUACG
rnacentral:rRNA from 1 species